rnacentral:lncRNA from 1 species
AUCAGAGUGCAACCUCCACUGACAGAAUAUCGAUAUACUAGUGCAUAACCUCUACUGACAAGGUAUCGAUGUACCAACAUAUAACCACCACUAGCAGGAUGUCGAUAAACCAGUGCACAACCUUCACUGAUAGAAUAUCAAUAUACUAGUAUAUAACUUCUACUGACAGGAUAUCAAUGUACCAGUACAUAACUUUCACUAGUAGGAUAUCAAUAUAUCAGUGCAUAAUCCCCACUGAAAGGGUAUCGACAUACCAGUGCACAAACUCCACUGACAA